rnacentral:rRNA from 1 species
UACGUAGGGGGCGAGCGUUGUCCGGAGUUACUGGGCGUAAAGAGCGUGUAGGCGGCCCGGUAAGUCCGCUGUGAAAGUCGGGGGCUCAACCCUCGAAUGCCGGUGGAUACUGUCGGGCUAGAGUGCGGAAGAGGCGAGUGGAAUUCCUGGUGUAGCGGUGGAAUGCGCAGAUAUCAGGAGGAACACCAAUAGCGAAGGCAGCUCGCUGGGACGGUAUUGACGCUAAGGCGCGAAAGCGUGGGGAGCAAACAGG